GACAGAGGGGGCAAGCGUUGCUCGGAAUCACUGGGCGUAAAGGGCGCGUAGGCGGGAUGGCAAGUCAGUCGUGAAAUCUCUCGGCUCAACCGAGAAACGUCGGCUGAUACUGCCGUUCUUGAGGGAUGCAGAGGAGACUGGAAUCCCCGGUGUAGCGGUGAAAUGUGUAGAGAUCGGGAGGAACACCGGUGGCGAAGGCGGGUCUCUGGGCAUCUCCUGACGCUGAGGCGCGAAAGCGUGGGGAGCAAACGGG
rnacentral:rRNA from 1 species